CGUAGUAACUUCCCCUCUUGUUACGUAACAAUAAAGAUACUACUUGCUGCGAUUUCGUGAUCUGCAGUUUAUUUAUCUGCUGAACCCAGUUUAGGGUAUAUGAGUGAUUUUUUCAGUAUCUCGAAUAAAAAUCAGGCAGAGAUGAGAAAGAAGAGUUGAACUUUUUCUUUAUUCCUUACAGGACCACAUGUUUGCAAUCAAAAACUGAGUGUUAUUUAGAAUUAGCACGAACGAAACGCACGAACAAAACGUUCGGGUACCGCUGUCCUAGACAAAGCAAUUAGCCAUUAAAUGAGAGUGGCAUUGUGAGCAACGAGAGUCUAAUAGAAUAUUAUCUCAUUGCACACUGUAACAGUUGUUGGUGGCGUCAAGAGCAAAAAUAAUUAAACCUUUUUUUAUGUAAUAUGGGCUUAUUAGAAUUAGACUCCAUUAAAAUUUUGUGGUAACCCACCUAGAUGAAACGUGCAUGAAAGGCUUUUUUGUUCAUGAUCCAUAGAUGAACGUUAUAAAUAAAAGAUUUAUCAAGCGAUGUAAAAAGUUAUUUUUCACCAACCAACAUGUGCAUGAAAAAAUGGUUUUGACUUGUGUUGCGCUGCUUUGAAUGCAGGCAGGAUAUAAAUGACAAACUACUUCCCUCCAGUAACAUUGAUGCGCACUAAACUUUUAGACGACAUGGACGCCAAGCAAAACAGCGUAGACAUUGAUCAGGGAAUGAUACCGAAUGGUUAUUGUGAGAAAAGAAAUUUUUUGAGAUUCACAGCAAGUGAUGAUAGUUAUUCAAACAAAUUUAUGAACUGGUAUAUUAACCAACAAUGGACGUCGAUUUGUGCAGUACCUGAUGGUAUCCUCAUUUAAAAUAUGGUUUGUAUUAUGUCCACGGUAUAAUCUAAAACCGCUUGCCCAAUUUGUCAUGGUAAAACUCAUUGAAUCAAAUACAAUGAAAUGCAAAAAACUACGCCAUUAAGAAAAUUCAAAGUAAAUGGUGUGAUGAAAUCUGUCUGGUCAGACGUUAUUGAGAACCUUAAAUAUCAGACAUGAAUAUACUUACGCACAAUCCAGAUAUCGAUUCUUACGUUAAUAGAGUCCUAAAUAAAAGCGCCGACAGUAAUUAUUAACGUAAAAUAUUACCGUGUUGCUAAUUGAAAUUUCAGCGUAUGACUAAAAAAUAUCGCAAAACGAAAUAUUAAUUUUGAUUUCAUCACUGUUUAAAUAUUUACCGUAUUUACUUUGAAGUUUAUCUUUCACAAAUAAUGCAUGCGUCAACCUUUGGAAAUAUACAGAGGAAAUUUGAAUUUUUAAGAUUCAAUUAAUAGGUAUACAGAUUGGUUACAGUUGAUUGGUAAAUACAAGCUGUUAGCGUCAUUUCAUUUCCGGAUGUCAAUGGCAAACCUUCAUGAAAGACCUCUUAGAUCGCUUCAUUCAAGUCGCAUGUCAGCAGUGACAAUUAUUGAUAGGUCAUAUUGACGCAUUUGCGAAAAAAAUACUACUAAAAUGUUAUACAUAUUAUUUGGAAUAAAACUUAAUUCCCUUUUAUUAGAGUUCAACAUAGAGUGUAUCGUAUAUGCACGUAAGAUUGAGUUUAUGGAGUGAAUGAAGGUUUAAAUAUUUCAGGUUCACUGCAGAUAAGGAAAGUAUCCAGAUAAAGUGUCCGUAUAGAUACAGAAACACUCAAUCCGAGGCGAAUUCUCCUGUGUUUUACUUUAGAAUAAAUAUCAUUGGGCAUGACUUCGCACCAUUUCUUUUUCUAGCAAGAUUUAUGCACAGUAUAACUGAACUCUUCAUUACACGAUGCAGUCAAUGGCAUUGAUUUCGAUGUUGUUCAUCUUUUCAUUUUUUGGAUUCACAAAAUUUACUAAUGCUGGCUCGAGAAUAGACAUCCCAAGUGGCCAAUUGAACGGAAAUUGGUUUUCAGAUCAGAAACAAAUUUCAAGAAGAAAUUUUGAUAAGCAGGAGAGGGAUGUUGAAGUUAUAUUCGAUGAUUAACGGUUGCUGGACAAUGCUUCAAUUCUUGCUGAUAUAUUUCCAAUCAAGAAAUUUUUGAAGAAAAUAACUCAAAACCAUUUUCAAUUAAGCAAGCUUUUAAGUUUUACCAGUCGACCUUUUAACACAAAAUAUCAUUUAUUUUGUUAAAAAUUUUUAAAAGCAUGCCGUCUUUAAUUUUUGUUCAGGUCGCACCGAAUGAUAUUGAUUCGGUUCCGUUAGCUUUAAACUACCAAUUCCAACUGAAGUUUCAUCAUUUCAUGCCGGUAUCUUUUAACUUUAAAUUCUUAUUUUUGUUUUGGUUGAAUAAACGUAAAAUAAUUUACAGAUAUUUUUGUUGGUAUAUAUGUGAUUCUUGAGGCGUGAGUGUAGGCCCUUUUAAAAUGCAAAAAAUGAUUGAAAUGACAUACAUAUUGAUUUGAUACAAAAACUGUAAAUUUAUCCCGUACUGAUUGAUCCACGGGACAAUUUAACUUGGUUAAACCAAGAUCUCUAACAGCAAUAAAUUUAACAUGUUUCUCAGUUUCAUCUAAUAAUUUCUUGCUUUAUUUAUAACCUCAACUCUCGCACUUGUUUUGGACUUUUGUAAAUGAAUUCAAGUGGUAUGCAAUCUAUUACCAGUUCAAACUCGAUACAAAGGGAAUCUUUCGAAUGUCAAAACUAUGGCCAUCCCUGCUUUCUCCGUCUAGAAAUGUCUGGGGUAACUAAUUUUGUUCGCCUACUUUACAUCAAGUUGUGUAAAAGGGACGAAAGCCAAUGGGCAGGGGAUAUAUUCACUUGGCUAACACAAACAGUCCCCGAACUCGUAAUAUAACCAAAAUUAGGAAAAUCGGAAUAAAAUUAUGGCCUAACCCUAACCUGGUACACACGAUACGGGAGGGGAGUAUCAAUAUGUAUCAGUAUGGCUAACACAAACAGUCCCCGAACUCGUAAUAUAACCAAAAUUAGGAAAAUCGGAAUAAAAUUAUGGCUUAACCCUAACCUGGUACACACGAUACGGGAGGGGAGUAUCAAUUAAACUAUUGCGUGCAAAGAAAAUUAUUUGCUUCUUGUCUAUUUGCUCUUAUACCAACACACUUUCAACUUCUACUGGACCGGCGUCAAUCAUAACUUGUUUUUUAGAACUUUUGUCGUAGUUUUCAAAUAUGCUUGCGUUUGUCAAUCUAUGCCGCAUCGUUUCACGUAAACAUUUUUGUUCUCGAUCCCAUUUUCAGUUUUCUCAUUUUCUUGUCCUUUUUCAAAUAGUUCUGACAAUGUUGCAUGGUCGGAAAUAUAUAUAUCCUGCACACCAAAAAAUAUUCGUAUUUGGAUGGUAUCUUCAGAUUCUCUUUCGUUUUCACUAGAUUUAACUUUCCAAUCAUAGGGACAUAUUCCGUUGGCUUGUUAUAACAUGCCCCAUAAAUUCAGUUUUUGACAUUCUAAAUUAACACUUUCCUUUAUUCAAUGUGAGACCCAAAUUUUGGAGUCGCAUCAGAAGUCUCUUCAAUUUUUUAUCAUGAUCGGUUUCUAUCACCCGAUGAACCACUAUAAUAUCAUCUAGAACAUUUUAGACUCCACCAAGACCUUGCAAUGCUUGUAGCAAUAUUCAUUACCUAUUAUUGGCUAAAUCAGUGGUAAAUCGGCUCCCUGUAAUAUCCAUGAAAUACUGCUAUAUUCUAUGUCUUAUAUUUGGUAUAUGACGCAAUAAUAUGAGGACACCUAGUGAUCUAG